UACGGAGGGGGCAAGCGUUGUUCGGAUUUACUGGGCGUAAAGAGCGUGUAGGCGGCCAGAUAAGUCCGCUGUGAAAUCUCGAGGCUCAACUUCGAGCUGUCGGUGGAAACUGUCUGGCUAGAGUCCGGAAGAGGAGAAUGGAAUUCCUGGUGUAGCGGUGAAAUGCGCAGAUAUCAGGAAGAACACCCGUGGCGAAGGCGGUUCUCUGGGACGGUACUGACGCUGAGACGCGAAAGCGUGGGGAGCGAACAGG
rnacentral:rRNA from 1 species